rnacentral:rRNA from 1 species
AGUGAACGCUGGCGGUAGGCCUAACACAUGCAAGUCGAACGGCAGCACAGUAAGAGCUUGCUCUUACGGGUGGCGAGUGGCGGACGGGUGAGGAAUACAUCGGAAUCUACUUUUUCGUGGGGGAUAACGUAGGGAAACUUACGCUAAUACCGCAUACGACCUACGGGUGAAAGCAGUGGAUCUUCGCACCUUGCGCGAUUGAAUUAGCCGAUGUCGGAUUAGCUAGUUGGCGGGGUAAAGGCCCACCAAGGCGACGAUCCGUAGCUGGUCUGAGAGGAUGAUCAGCCACACUGGAACUGAGACACGGUCCAGACUCCUACGGGAGGCAGCAGUGGGGAAUAUUGGGCAAUGGGCGCAAGCCUGAUCCAGCCAUACCGCGUGGGUGAAGAAGGCCUUCGGGUUGUAAAGCCCUUUUGUUGGGAAAGAAAAGCAGCAGGUUAAUACCCCGCUGUUCUGACGGUACCCAAAGAAUAAGCACCGGCUAACUUCGUG